UACGUAGGGGGCGAGCGUUGUCCGGAAUUAUUGGGCGUAAAGAGCGUGUAGGCGGUUCGGUAAGUCUGCCGUGAAAACCUGGGGCUCAACCCCGGGCGUGCGGUGGAUACUGCCGGGCUAGAGUGCGGAAGAGGCGAGUGGAAUUCCUGGUGUAGCGGUGAAAUGCGCAGAUAUCAGGAGGAACACCUAUUGCGAAGGCAGCUCGCUGGGACGUAACUGACGCUGAGACGCGAAAGCGUGGGGAGCAAACAGG
rnacentral:rRNA from 1 species